rnacentral:rRNA from 1 species
AUGAAUACCCUAGUUUGGAACUGCCGGGGGGGGGGGGACCGCCGGACAGUUCAUGAGGUUUUGGCCCUCUCAAAAGCCAAUAACCCCAAGCUUGUCUUCCUGUGCGAGACGAGGCAAGCUACUGUGAAAAUAGAGAAGAUACGUUGGAGACUCGGUCUGAAAGGAUUUCAUGGUGUGAGUAGUGAUGGGAGGAGUGGGGGCUUAGCCCUUUUCUGGGAUGAGUCCCUC